CCUACGGGGGGCAGCAGUGGGGAAUAUUGGACAAUGGGGGCAACCCUGAUCCAGCCAUGCCGCGUGUGUGAAGAAGGCCCUCGGGUUGUAAAGCACUUUCAGUGAGGAAGAACGCCUGGUGGUUAAUACCCAUCAGGAAAGACAUCACUCACAGAAGAAGCACCGGCUAACUCCGUGCCAGCAGCCGCGGUAAUACGGAGGGUGCGAGCGUUAAUCGGAAUUACUGGGCGUAAAGCGCGCGUAGGUGGCUUGAUAAGCCGGUUGUGAAAGCCCCGGGCUCAACCUGGGAACGGCAUCCGGAACUGUCAAGCUAGAGUGCAGGAGAGGAAGGUAGAAUUCCCGGUGUAGCGGUGAAAUGCGUAGAGAUCGGGAGGAAUACCAGUGGCGAAGGCGGCCUUCUGGACUGACACUGACACUGAGGUGCGAAAGUGUGGGUAGCAAACAGGAUUAGAUACCCGAGUAGUC
rnacentral:rRNA from 1 species